rnacentral:ncRNA from 1 species
UAUGUCCACUAGGGGAGCAAGAUAGCUGAGAUAGUGAGUGAUUCACUGACCCUUGAACCUGUUCUAGGUAAUACUAGCGUAGGAAAGUGGUUUUAGGAUUUG